rnacentral:rRNA from 1 species
CCUACGGGAGGCAGCAGUGAGGAAUAUUGGUCAAUGGUCGGGAGACUGAACCAGCCAAGCCGCGUGAGGGAUGAAGGUACAGAGUAUCGUAAACCUCUUUUGUCAGGGAACAAAGUCGGGGACGCGUCCCCUUAUGAGUGUACCUUACGAAAAAGCAUCGGCUAACUCCGUGCCAGCAGCCGCGGUAAUACGGAGGAUGCGAGCGUUAUCCGGAUUUAUUGGGUUUAAGGGGUGCGCAGGCGGUUUGUUAAGUCAGCGGUAAAAGCCCGGGGCUCAACCCCGGCCCGCCGUUGAAACUGGCAGACUAGAGUUGGAGAGAGGUAGGCGGAAUGCGCGGUGUAGCGGUGAAAUGCGUAGAUAUCGCGAAGAACUCCGAUUGCGAAGGCAGCAUGCCGGGUCCACACUGACGCUGAGGCACGAAAGCGUGGGUAUCGAACAGGAUUAGAUACCCCUGUAGUC